GGGGCGAGAACCGCACGAGUUAGACCAUUCUGUAUCUCCCUGGAAUCGAGGCAGUGCAAUCCUGAAGACACCCACACAAGGAAGUAAAAAGCAUCGUGAAAAAUUAUUAAAUUCAACCCUUAAGUCUGGAAUGCAAAAGACAAUACUAACACGUGACCUAUCGGCGACACUACACAUAAACACGUCCACAGUCCAACCAAAAGGCCGGACGCCAGGCUGGGCUUCGGCCGCCUGCAGACAGCGGACACACGUCAGAUUAAAGGACACUGGUAACAGGAGCUGGAACUCACUGCUAUGCCAGAGUCUCAAUCGCGCGGCUCAGCGCGCGCCGCCGCUGCGUCUGACGUCACCGCCCCGAGGCCAAUCACAGAGCGGCGUCCCCAGGUCACGUGCCCCAAACAAAGCCGGUCCUUCUGGACAGCGGGCUGAAUGCGCUUCCGGGAACUUGAGCCAAGGGCGGAGCGCCGGAAGCCGGGCGGGCGACGUGCCCGCCACACGGAGAAGAGGCGCUUCCUUGGAUGCAAGUGUCCACCAUGUCUGGCCGCCAUGUUUGAACAAGUCGCAACCUUUGAGGCCUCCGCGGCCGCCAUGUUUGAGAAGGGCGCUCCGUUUGAUACAUAAGGCGCCAUGUUUGAAAAGGCACAUCCCUUGAUGCCUCUGUGGCCGCCAUGUUUGAGACGGGCGCUUCCUUGCUACUUGUGGUCGCCGUGUUUGAAAAGGCAUAUCCCUUGACGCCUUCGUCGCUGCCGCGUUUGAGAGGGCCAGCUGCCUCGCUGGAGGGCCUUCUCUCUUUGGUCUCAGUGUCUUCCCACCCUGCGGGGGCCAACAUCAGCUCGGGGUCCCUUGGCAGGAGCCCGGCACUUAGAAGCACUUGCAAUCAAACCUGACAAUUUUUGAGUUGGACUCCAAGACCCUGACAAGAUUGACACUCCCCUCCCGAGACUGACUCAUUUCAUUCUUUCUGUCUCAAAAUAAAUAAGUGUGAAAAUGAUAAA